rnacentral:lncRNA from 1 species
AAAAAAAGAAAAAACAAUUUUGAUAGAAAGUUUCCUUGAAUAAAUUAAUUGAGCAUAACCCACGCAACUAACUACUUUCCUUCUAAGAAGCUCUUGUUCUUCAAUAAUGUGUACCCUUCAAUUUCAACUUCAACCCAUCAUCAAUCAAUUUCCACAUAUUCUUUGAAACCCUUCCAAUUCAUCUCUCUCUCUCUCUAUGGCAAUGGCACUUAACGCUGCUAUCUAUAUCGUUAAGAUGACUUGGAUAGCUCUCAGUGGUUGGAUCACUUCUUGCUUAACUAUUGCUGAUGAAUUCGCUACUUCUCUUCGUUCUGGUGAUAUUGGUCCUUUUCAUGUUGGUUAAUUCUAUUUCCCUUUUCUGGGUAUGCUCCAAGUUUUUUAAUUUACAACUACCCUUCAAUCUACACUUCUUUUCAUGUAUUGGGUCGUUGUGAUUAGUGUGUUUCAGGGUGAAAUUUUUGUUUUUUAGUUAGUGGGUGAUGGGUUUGUUAUUUGGGGUUUCCUUAAAAUUGAGGAAUUAGGUUUGGUAAAUUGUUUAAGGUUGUCUGUUAUAGCUUUUUAGGUUACUUGUUAUUAAAAGGGUUUACUCAUAAAUUCAAUUACAAUCAUAAUCCUUUGAUUCUCAGCUCUUAACUUGUUAGUAGUUCAUAUUUGAUUAGAUGAUGGAGUUAUGUAAAUUGGCAAUUUAAAUUGAUUCAUGGAUAUCAUAAGAGUGGUGAUUUACUAUGUUUAUUCAUUUUUAUGUUAUUUAGUUUGUUAAAUAUGUACACUUUGAGGUGUUAGCACAGUGGUAAGAGUUUAGGUUCGUAACUUCAAGAUAUUGAGUUCAAAUUGCCUCGGAUAUAGUUGUAAAAUGGUGUGUCACUUUAAUUAUAUUUUGGUGUAGUAGCUGCAUUGAGUUAGACCAUGAGCUAUCAUAAAUAUUUUUUGAACAAGAGCUAUCAUAAAUAUUGUUUUCUGUAUAUUAUGUUUAGCUUUGAGGGUAAGUUCUGCAAGUGUUCUUUUUUAGUUCUGUAAGUUAAAUAGUCAUGUAAAAGGAAAGAAAGACGGUUAAAUUGAUAUUUGAAGGAUGCCAAUGCUACAUAGACUAUAUGUAUGAGUCAAGAUGUAUUACACAAGAUCCCACUUGGGGUUGGUCUAGUGGUGUUGACUUGGGUCCUUGGAGUAUGCUCCUCCAAGGUCUCAGGUUCGAUUCCCCCUGGUGCCAAUUUUGGUGGGCUAAGUCCAUACAGGGCAAAAAAACUCUGGCUUUAAAUGGGGCCCCGCAAGUGGGCGGUGGGAUUGGUCCCCUUGGAUUAGUCGGGCCUAAGGCCGGAUACCAUGUUUAAAAAAAAAAAAGAUGAAUUACGCAAGACAUUGUUAUGUUGAUAUCAAAUUUGUACCACAAAGUAGAGAAUGAUUAGUGCCCCAAACUAUGUUGUUUCUAGAUCAAUAGGAACUAGACAGAAGGCACUUUGAAAAGCCCCUAUCUUAUGCGAUACCAGUAACACAGCCAUUUCAAGAAAGGGAACCUGAUUAUUGUAACCCCUUUAUUAAUAUCUUAACAGC